rnacentral:rRNA from 1 species
CAGCAGCCGCGGGAAAACGUAGGGUGCAAGCGUUAAUCGGAAUUACUGGGCGUAAAGCGUGCGCAGGCGGUGUUGUAAGACUGAUGUGAAAUCCCCGGGCUCAACCUGGGAACUGCAUUUGUGACUGGCAAGCUAGAGUGUGGCAGAGGGGGGUGGAAUUCCGCGUGUAGCAGUGAAAUGCGUAGAUAUGCGGAGGAACACCGAUGGCGAAGGCAGCCCCCUGGGCCAACACUGACGCUCAUGCACGAAAGCGUGGGGAGCAAACAGGAUUAGAUACCCCUGUAGUCCCUGUCUCUUAUAC